CCAUUGAAUCCAGCUUCAUUGUUGCCCAACCCUGAUGAUGGUGAACCACAUGACUGUGAGAUGGUUGUCGAUAAAGUGCUAACACCCAGACCUGAUAUGUUUGACAAACCUAUGGAUAAUGCUGAACUUGUGUUGUACGUAGAUGGAUCUUUGUCCCGAGAAUGGGAUGGCUCUCUAAACUCCGGAUAUGCGGUCUGCACGGACAGUGAGACAUUCAAAUCUGGUAAACUGUCUCCACAAUGCACUGCACAGCAGGCAGAGUUUUGCUUUGACAAGGGCAUGUUGUUUGUCAGAAGGCAAGGUCGUAAAUAUUCACACUGACUCGAGGUAUGGAUUUGGAGUUACUCACGAUUUUGGUGCCAUAUGGCGAGAAAGAGGUUUCAUUAACUCCUCAGGUGGAGCAAUCAAGAAUGGAAAGAUGAUUGAUAAUUUGUUUGUGAGGCUCAUACUAACAAUACAGAUGAUGUUUCAAGAGGAAAUGCUAGAGCUGAUUUAGCAGCAAAGGCUGCGGCCAACUCCUCUGAUGUGUCCCAGGUCUCUAUUUGUUUGUGUCUCAGCAACCGGAAACACGCACUCCCUCUCUUCAUGUUGUGGCGGACCUUUGAGCCGCUGCUGAUAACACUGAGAGGGAUGGUUGGUUAUCCAUGGCCGUGUGAAAGAUCCAACUUCGGCAGUGUGGAGCCACCCCGACGGCCGCGUGGUGGCGCCACGUGCAUUGUUCCCUUGGUUGGCUCGCAUGGCGCACGGCUGUGCCCAUACGAGCAAGGGGGGUAUGGUCUCAAUAGUAAAUACUGAUUGGUUUGCACCUGGUUUUUCCACAAAGGCUGAGCAACAUUGUGCUCAGUGUCAUACCUGCCAGCAGCAUAAUCCCGGAAAGGGACCAAAGAGAAGAGACGCAGCCCACCCGCCACCAAGUGGUCCUUUUAUGCAUUUACAAAUUGAUUUUAUUCAGAUGAACAAGUGUUGUAAUUUUGAGUAUGUACUUGUAAUUGUUGACAUGUUCUCGAAAUGGGUAGAAGCCUACCCAUGUCGGAAAGCUGAUGCUACCACGGUAGCCAAGAUUCUCAUUAGAGAUGUGAUCUGUAGAUAUGGGAUCCUCACAAGACUGUCCAGUGAUAGAGGUUCACAUUUUACGGAUCAAAUUGUUCAGGAACUUUGUAAAGCGCUCCAGAUCAACCAGCAUUUUCACUGUCCCUACCACCCACAGUCUGCAGGGGCAGUGGAGAGGCAAAAUGGAACUUUGAAAAACAAACUAGCCAAGAUAUGUGAAGAGACUGGCCUAAAAUGGCCUGAUGCACUCCCACUAGCUCAUAUGGCCAUGAGCCCAGAGGAGGAAUGGACUUUCCCCACACAAGAUAGUUUUAGGGAGACCAAUGAAAUUGCCUGUCUCUCCCCCACUAUCAUUGAAACAGAUGGAUAUCCACCAGAUGGAUGAUACAAUGUUAAACUUUUGUUUUGCCCUAACUAGAGCAACCAGGGUUGUGCAUUCACAGGUGAAAGCUGCCCGCUGGGGAGCCAUGUCAUCCCUAUCAACCGGGAGACUAUGUGAAAGUGCACAAACGGAGGACUGCCCUCUCACCAAGAUGGACCGGUCCAUACCUGGUUUUCUCUUGGUGACUCACACAGCUGUAAAGGUGGAGGGUCCCAACGGAGAGCCAGGGGUCGGUGGAGGAGCAGGUGCACCUCCAAAUGGUGCCUGCUCCAACUUGUCAUUUGUCUCAUCCCCACUGGGUUACUCCUCCAGGAGUACACCAAGGGGGGUGGAGACCCGUUUGCAGCGGCUGAUCCGGGAGCAGGCUCCAGUCCAGCUGACCGAUUUGAGCCAAAACCAGGAUCCCGCCAUCCAGCACUCCAAUCCAGGGGUGCUGAGAAGGAGGUCCCAAAGAGCACCCACCCGGAGGUGUUGAAGACGUCGAAAGGUGAGUCACAUGAGGAGAAAGCCAGAGAGGGGCUGCUGUUGCUACCGUGCCUCUCUCCCCCAUGUGUGAUUCAUGAAGCAGAUGACAGCACCCAGACGGGAAACCAGAGAGAGGAGCCUGGAGAGGGGAAGACACUUUCAGUCUUCCUCCGGCCUCUACAUGAAGCAGAUGACAGCACCCAGAAUGGGGACGAGAGGAUACUGUGGUGGAGGCCUUCGGUUGUUUCAAGGAAACCGAGGCCGCUGCCGGAGCUACGAUGAGAGAUGAGAUCCAGACAUACUGACGCACACACCUGACAGACAUUUACUGAUACUGGACGCACGAGUCCACAGACAUCGCAUACAUGAGCCACACCGAGAGUCACUAUUGCACGCUCCCAAUUAUACUGAUGUGAACAUUGAGAUUCAUCAUAAAGCACACAUGAAGAACAAUCUGUGCAACAACACCUUUCCGUGGACGGGAAAAAAUGACUGGACGCAGCAUUAGAGGGGACAGACCUUGCAGGGUUUGUGGUUAGAGUCCCAAGCAUUCUGGAGGUUAUCCAGGGAUAUAUGUCCCUCUGUCAAUGGCUGAUAUGUGUAAGGUCAAGAAGUGGCCUUGUGUAGGGUUGGAUGUAACAAAUGUGACUGUUCUGUCGAACAAGUCAGUCAUCUCUUGAAUAUGCCCCACCUGCAUUGUUUUGUGUAUGGCAUAGUGGUACAGUGAGAGUGAAAAAAUACAUGCAAGGAUACGGUUUCUAUGUAUGCUCACACUCUACUGGAUGAUUUGUAAGUUCAAUUGUAUCUGAGUUCAAUGUUACUUGUCCUGUAUACCAUUUGGGCGGGUGACAUAAAUUCCUGAUGUUGCUGACUAUGCUAUUCCUACACUUUUAGCAUACUACAGAAGAUGUAGUAUAUGGUUGAUUAAAUCUUUAAAUAAUUAUGGGAAUGUAUUUGGUAAAAAUACAUGUAACCACACUGUGGUAUGUAUGCUAACAGCCUGUUGCAUGAUUUGCCUGUUGCAGAUGGACCUGUAAGUAUAAGGGCAUCACCAUUUUGGUCUCGUCGUGCAGCUAACAAUGGCACCAUGUGGGUAUGUGUUAAGAGUGCUUAUUAUUUCCUGCCGGCCGUCUGGUCAGGAACGUGUUACCUUGGGUUUAUUGUAGGAGCCCUCAGACCUGUAGAUGGGUUGCCCCUGCACCCUUUUCCCAAACAUUGGUGGCACCGCCACAAGAGAAGUAUUAUUAAUGCAGAUGCUAAGAAGCUGGGAUCACAUCACGUGGAUUCAAUAGUACUCAGUCACUUUUCACGUUUUCAGUUGCCAUUCUCCCUGUGUAUGGUGUUAUCACUGCCUUUAGAGAUAUUAGGAGCUUAGCAGUAGGGUUGGAGUCCAUUGGUAAUGAGACAGCCGACGCCUUAACUGCAGUUGCGUCUGAGAUGAAGGCCAUGAGGCAGGUAGUGCUCCAGAACCGUAUGGCACUGGAUUAUCUGUUGUCAGCUCAGGGAGGUAGCUGUGCUGUGAUAGGUCAUGACUGUUGUACUUUUAUCCACGAUGAAUCUGCUAAUAUCACAAGUAUGGCUGCUUACAUUAAAACAUAAUGUCAGCUUUGGGGGAACCUGAAGCUAGAAAUUGUGCUGACUGACCUCCUCUGUUCGGGGUUUCUUUUUCGACUAUCAUUCAAAUAGGAAUCACUGGAUUGGGCAUGUUAAUCGUUGUUGUGCUGAUUGUGGUUUGCGCUUGGAAGAUGUGUACUGCCUGCUGUGUACAGUGCUGUGCAGUAGGUUUUCGUAAGGCUGCCAGUAAGAUUAUGGUAGCCCAAAUCAAGCCACAGACAAAAGCAAGCAAGACUGAUGAUAACUUUAUUGCCCUGGGAAUGACUGAAAUGUCUGAUAUGUAAUCUCAAGUACCAAGUGACUAUUUUGCCAAUGUAAUAAAGAUGGCCAUUUGCCUCCUUCUAUUUUCCAACUGAUAUACAAUGCUGUAUGCAAUGUGAAUAGAUCUGUCCUUGACCACAGAUCAGUUAACAAUAAUUAAAGAUGGUUACUUUAUUACUUU